GUGUUGAAGUUUUUAAGGGCGCACGGUGGAUGCCUUGGCAUCAAGAGCCGAUGAAGGACGUGGGAAUCUGCGAUAAGCCUGGUGGAGUCGAUAACCGGACGUUGAUACCAGGAUUUCCGAAUGGGGGAACCCCGCACCAUGUUAUGUGGUGUGACCUGCAGCUGAAUGUAUAGGCUGUGUGGAGGGAACGCGGGGAAGUGAAACAUCUCAGUACCCGCAGGAAGAGAAAACAAUAGUGAUUCCGUUAGUAGUGGCGAGCGAACGCGGAUGGGGCUAAACCGGUUGGUGUGUGAUAGCGGAUAGGCGUUGCAUCAUCGGGGUUGUGGGGU
rnacentral:rRNA from 1 species